rnacentral:rRNA from 1 species
GACGAACGCUGGCGGCGUGCUUAACACAUGCAAGUCGAGCGGUAAGGCCCUUUCGGGGGUACACGAGCGGCGAACGGGUGAGUAACACGUGGGUGACCUGCCCUCAGCUCUGGGAUAAGCCUGGGAAACUGGGUCUAAUACUGGAUAUGACUCCACGGUGCAUGUCGUGGGGUGGAAAGCCUUGUGCGGCUGAGGAUGGGCCCGCGGCCUAUCAGCUUGUUGGUGGGGUGGUGGCCUACCAAGGCGACGACGGGUAGCCGGCCUGAGAGGGCGACCGGCCACACUGGGACUGAGACACGGCCCAGACUCCUACGGGAGGCAGCAGUGGGGAAUCUUGCGCAAUGGGCGAAAGCCUGACGCAGCGACGCCGCGUGAGGGAUGACGGCCU